rnacentral:SRP_RNA from 1 species
ACCGGGCACGGUGGCACAUGCCUGUAGUCCCAGCUACUCGGGAGACUGAGGUGGGAGGAUCACUUGAGCCCAGGAGUUCUGGGCUGUAGUGCUCAAUGCCUGUCGGGUGUCUGUACUAAGUUUGGCAUCAAUAUGGUGAUCUCCUGGGAACCGGGGACCACCAGGUUGCCUAAGGAGGGGUGAACUGGCCCAGGUUAGGAAACGAACAGGUCAAAACUCCCGUGCUGAUCAGUAGUGGGAUCGCACCUGUGAAUAGUCACUGCACUCCAGCCUGGGCAACAUAGUGAUACCCGUCUUU